AAGCCUGUGUAACUAUUUUCAUUUCUUACAUAAAGUUUAUUAUUAAAAAUCAGCAUGCCUCGAAGAUCGAAAAUGAAAUGCUAUUUCGGAUGCCUUGAUAACGACAAAGGUUUGAUGAUGACAAAAUUUUAUGGAAAAAUUAUAAGGAGCACAAAAAUGUCUGAAACAUGAAAAGAUUGAUGCACUAUAUUUGAACCAGAACGUGUUAUGUAAUAUAUUAAUUUAAGAGAAACUGAUUCAGCAAGGAACGUGAACUCUCAAGGAUCUUAAUUUUUUUUAAAUAUGUUUAUAAUUUAUAAAUUAAUAAUUGAAAUAGUUCAUAAGAACUAAAUUGAUGCCAAUUUUGUUUUAAAAUAGGUUGUUUAGUUCUUAUAGUUAUAGUAUUACGUUUGAAUAGUUGUAAUUAGUAA